GCGUGUGUGGUGUAAGCGGUAACACUCCGACCGCGAAGGUCGGCAAUGCGGGUUCGAAUCCCGUCACGCGCU
rnacentral:tRNA from 1 species